AAAAAACCAACCGUUUGCUAUUUAAUACUUUUGAGAGUUAAUAUAGAGCUCUAAGAGGGUAAACGUGAGUGAUUCUCUUCUGCAACGAGACACCCCAAAGACAUCCCGUUGAUAUUCAGGAUGCUGACGGUUACCGGUUCCCUGGAUGCAAGGUCUCAGAACGCAGCAGUUCUGAAUCCAUCUGUCUGCAAUAUCCCCAGCCACCAAAGCUAGAUCCCUUCCCUUUUAGGUCUCCUGCUCAAAGGGUCGUGUUCAGUACAAGGAUUCCAACAAAUCCCGGCCUCUACCGUGAGCUCCGGUUUUGACAGUGAGGCGACCAGCUCUGAGGAUACACACCACUGUUAAUUCCUGCAGUCCACAAGCCAAUUCCCGCUCAACGGAAUUUUUCUUUUGCCAUGGCUUGUUUUAUUUUAGGCACCUUCCACAAUAAGAAGUAGGAUCCUAUGGUUGCCUUUCUGCCUUUGUUAUCACUUCUGCCUGACUGUGCUAGAGUCUUCAAAACGAGAUUUGCUAGAAGCCACAGAAGCAAGGAGCGCAUCUUGUAAGGAAGUCAUGGCAACAGGAAGUGUCUGAGGCUGCGGGGAGCAGGUGGGGUCCUGACGGUGUGAGGCCUGAGUCCUCAGCCAGCACCACAUCGCCUGUGUGUCAGGAGAAGAUUCCCAGUGAGGUUGGUACAUGCCCCGACUGUAGAAACAGACUGUGUGGUGAAGAGGGACGUGCCUCAAGCUAUGGUGCUUACCCAAGAGCCCAGAUGUGGGGUCACCCUGCUGCCUCAGCUAUCAGAACCUUAAGGGUUCCCAGUGAAGAUGAAAGAAAGACAAAUAAUAAAGACCAUUUGAUCCAAGUGCUGAAGAUUUUUUACAGAUAUGCCACUUCAGGUCUCUGCUCAAGGAUAAACUAUUUCAAAACUCUCUACACUAUUUUAUGUGGUGUGUGUGUGUGUGUGUGUGUUGCAUGUGUAUAUAAGUACUCUCAGCUGGGGCAGGACAUCAGGUGUCAUCCUUUGCCACUGUCCAUGUUGCGUUGCCCUGAGCUUGCUGCUUCAGCCAGCCUGAGUGUCCAGCACGCUCUCGGGAUCUGCACAUCUCUACUUAUGAUUGCUGAGCUCACAGGUAUAUGCAGCCAUGCCCCAGCUGUCUUACGUGGUGGGAUUAGGGAUAUGAACUCAGCUCCUCCCACUUACAGAGCAUGCAUUCCUGCCCACUGAGCCCCAAUUACAAAGACGUUUGAAAUACAGAAGUGCCCCCUUUUCCCCCUGCUAGUCUCAUGUGUCUGUGUUCAAGCCCUUCCCCCACUCCUUUUCCACCCCCCACCCCCCAAAGAGCUUUCACAUUUUAAAUAAUAAACAUGUGGGGUUCCCUGGUUAAGGGCACUUACUGUUCUUCCAAGGGACCACAGAUCAGUUCCCAGCACUCGCAUGGUAACUCACUACAACCCUUUAA
rnacentral:lncRNA from 1 species